CAUCUUCGAUUUGUUGGGGGCAGAUGAAAUGGAUAUGGCUGUCAAACCCGCCCGCCGUCAGGAUCUUGCCCUCGCCAGCAAUCACCUCGGUGCCGGGACCGACGACGAUAUCCACGCCGGGCUGAGUAUCAGGGUUUCCUGCCUUGCCGAUGGUGUGAAUGCGACCGCUCCGCAACCCAACAUCAGCCUUGUAAAUCCCGGUAUGAUCCACAAUCAGCGCAUUGGUAAUCACCGUGUCCACUGCCCCGCCUGCGCGGGUGACCUGACUUUGCCCCAUCCCGUCACG
rnacentral:sRNA from 1 species